CUAAUCACCACCUGCUUUUAAACUCUGCUUUGAAGACUACUCGUCACCACAUGAUUCCAGCUUCCACAGUGGUUUCUUGGUCUGCCUCUCCUAAAGUUAUUGCAACUUUGAUGAAUAUUUACGUGUGUUUUAACUUACCAGUGUCUAAUCCCUGCUGUUAAACUUUUCUCCUCCAGCGCUUCCGCCAGCCAACAGCAUUUGCCCAGCCUCUGCCAUGACUGCCACACCCUCUCAUGGAUUCACUCACCUGCGGUGUACUCAAGCCCUAACUAUUCCCUUCCCCCUCCUCACCACGGAUCUCUUCUACUCCCUGGACCUCAGAGCUCACUUUCACAACCAACAAAGCUAUCAAUAAAAUCUCUUAAAACU